rnacentral:rRNA from 1 species
UCUGUCUGAACUGUUAAAUACAAAAAGUUAAAACUUUCAACAACGGAUCUCUUGGUUCUCGCAUCGAUGAAGAACGCAGCGAAAUGCGAUAAGUAGUGUGAAUUGCAGAAUUCAGUGAAUCAUCGAAUCUUUGAACGCACAUUGCGCCUCCUGGUAUU